GAUGAAGAACGCAGUGAAAUGCGAUAAGUAGUGUGAAUUGCAGAAUUCAGUGAAUCAUCGAAUCUUUGAACGCACAUUGCGCCCCUUGGUAUCCCGAGGGGCAUGCCUGUUCGAGCGUCAUUUCACCACUCAAGCCUGGCUUGGUGUUGGGCGACGUCCUCUUUGGGGACGCGCCUCGAAACGCUCGGCGGCGUGGCACCGGCUUUAAGCGUAGCAGAAUCUUUCGCUUUGGAAGUCGGGGCCCCGUCUGCCGGAAGACCUGCUCGCAAGGUUGACCUCGGAUCAGGCAGGGAUACCCGCUGAACUUAAGCAUAUCAAUAAGCGGAGGA
rnacentral:misc_RNA from 1 species